ACGCACGCUGGCGGCGUGCUUAACACCUGCAAGUCGCACGGAAAGGCCCUGCUUUUGUGGGGUGCUCGAGUGGCGAACGGGUGAGUAACACGUGAGUAACCUGCCCUUGACUUUGGGAUAACUUCAGGAAACUGGGGCUAAUACCGGAUAGGAGCUCCUGCUGCAUGGUGGGGGUUGGAAAGUUUCGGCGGUUGGGGAUGGACUCGCGGCUUAUCAGCUUGUUGGUGGGGUAGUGGCUUACCAAGGCUUUGACGGGUAGCCGGCCUGAGAGGGUGACCGGCCACAUUGGGACUGAGAUACGGCCCAGACUCCUACGGGAGGCAGCAGUGGGGAAUAUUGCACAAUGGGCGGAAGCCUGAUGCAGCAACGCCGCGUGCGGGAUGACGGCCUUCGGGUUGUAAACCGCUUUCGCCUGUGACGAAGCGUGAGUGACGGUAAUGGGUAAAGAAGCACCGGCGAACUACGU
rnacentral:rRNA from 1 species